rnacentral:misc_RNA from 1 species
GAAAUGCGAUAAUUAAUGUGAAUUGCAGAAUUCAGUGAAUCAUCGAGUCUUUGAACGCACAUUGCGCCCCCUGGUAUUCCGGGGGGCAUGCCUGUCCGAGCGUCAUUGCUGCCCUCAAGCACGACUUGUGUGUUGGGCUUCCGUCCCUGGCAACGGGGACGGGCCCAAAAGGCAGUGGCGGCACCAUGUCUGGUCCUCGAGCGUAUGGGGCUUUGUCACCCGCUCCCGUAGGUCCAGCUGGCAGCUAGCCUCGCAACCAAUCUUUUUAACCAGGUUGACCUCGGAUCAGGUAGGGAUACCCGCUGAACUUAAGC